rnacentral:lncRNA from 1 species
GCAGCCGGCACGGGGAUGGUCGGCGGCCGAAGGAGAGAUGAUCCGACGGCAAGAGGAGAUCAAACCGGUGGUCGACGGUGACCACCGGCAUCGGAAUCAAAGGAAAACGGUCAAAAAAUGAAGGUUACUUCCGCAACAAAAUCUGGCGACUCCGGUCGUCGACGAGCAUGCACAUCAGCACGGGAAAGAAGGGGGAGAAGAGAGGAAGGGGAGGAGGCUUACCUCCGUUGCCGGCGAAGCUUUUCCGAUGAGAAAUUAGAUGGCACAGUGACAGAUCUCCGUGAGGAAUUUUCGACGAUUGCCGUCGUUUUGCCCCG